GACGAACGCUGGCGGCGUGCUUAACACAUGCAAGUCGAACGGAAAGGCUCCAGCUUGCUGGCGUACUCGAGUGGCGAACGGGUGAGUAACACGUGGGUAAUCUGCCCUGCACUCUGGGAUAAGCCUGGGAAACUGGGUCUAAUACUGGAUAUGACCUUUCUCCUUAUGGGGUUUGGUGGAAAGUUUUUCGGUGUAGGAUGAGCCCGCGGCCUAUCAGCUUGUUGGUGGGGUGAUGGCCUACCAAGGCGACGACGGGUAGCCGGCCUGAGAGGGCGAUCGGCCACGUUGGGACUGAGAUACGGCCCAGACUCCUACGGGAGGCAGCAGUGGGGAAUAUUGCACAAUGGGCGGAAGCCUGAUGCAGCGACGCCGCGUGAGGGAUGACGGCCUUCGGGUUGUAAUCCUCUUUCAGCAGGGACGAAGCGUAAGUGACGGUACCUGCAGAAGAAGCACCGGCUAACUAUGUG
rnacentral:rRNA from 1 species